UUGAGAUGUUCCUCCUUGCCCAUUUAUCCCCAUGCCUGUUGUUUUUUUCUGCUGAUGUCAUAAUCUGCAAAUUUGCAGGCCAAUGUUCAUCCUUUCAGCUGGAGAAGUGGGGGCCACUUGCAUUGAUAUACUCCCUGUCACAGGCCACAUUAAGGCCACCCCCGCUUUGGAAGAUGAAAUUCAGGCUCUGUUAGGAAAAGAUGUGAUUGUUCCCUUGUACCAUCCCCAAAAAUGAUGCUGGCAUCCGGUCAGACCAUCGAUGCUUUCUCGGGUUUUCAGUAGGAGGAAUCUCUGUUUACCCAUAUUUGGAUAGCUGGAUAACCUGGUUGCUGAGUCCAAAUCACAAGCUUCUAAAUACACGGUAGCUCUUAUUCCAAGUACUAACCAGGUCUUCUUCAGAACAGGCAAUGUCUCUUUUCACUUCUUAAGGCUGGAGUAGCUUCCUUCUCACAAGUUCAAAAGAGACCCUCUUCUUCCUCCAUUCAGCUGUUCGUCAUUGGAACAAUCUGUAAACCAGAUGAAUUAGAAUUGCCUCAACAACUCUCAGAGCCUCCGGAAGAGAUGGUGAUGAAGGAGGAAAACAUCUGGAUGUCACUAAGUGAGAACAGUUGCUGUGUGUUUACCUUAGUAGAAGAAUACAGAUGUUGUCUCUUGUGUCUUCCCUUUUGUUUUUGAUGGGAGAUCUUACUCAUCCUGCACCAAAGAUGGAGCUAUUGAUGAGCAAUUAUGGUGUGGUACAACUUCUAACUAUGAUGACGAUGGCCAAUGGAAGCACUGUUCUCUUCAGGAGCAUGGGGGCAGUUCUGGAGGUCAGCCUUGCAUUUUCCCCUUUGUUUACAAGAACCAGACAUACUACACCUGCACAGAAGAGGAGAAAAGAGGAUUUUGGUGUGCUACCACAAGAAAUUAUGACCGGGAUCGUAAAUGGAGCUACUGUGCUGACAUCAGUAAGAGAAAUGAUGGCAGACAAUGACUGCCAUAAUUAUGAGUACUCGUGAAAAUAAAGAUCUUUAAGAUUUGAGUUACUUUGAGUUACAGUACUUUGGCCAUUGGAAAGCUAUUUCUAAAAAGAAUUGAUGUGACACUAGCGAAUGAAUAUUGAGAGUAAGGAGAGCACAGAGAAAGGAGAGAAAAGG